GCAAUUUAAAAAUAGCCAUAAUGCAUAAUUUGCACGUGAAAUUAUUGAUCAUGUUUUUACGUUAUUGGGUACUGCACAGAUCUGUUACAUUUCUUUCUUAACGACAUUCUUCGUCGAGUUUCGAACGGAUCGUCGAACGGAUCGUCUUUCGGACCAUUAAAACGUGGCCGAACAAUUUUAUGGUUUAUGUAAGACCUGAAUAAAAGAUUACGAUAGCUACUCACCGCGAGCGCUGGCAUGAUUUUCCGACGUUCAUCUCUACACAUGAAAAUUUUCGUUCUGAUAAUUUCAAGUCUGAUUGUUGUUGGAAGCAGCGAUAAUGCGACGACAGACAACGAUGACGAUUUAACUCAGGUUAUCUCACUAGAAAGGGCUACCGGUUCUUGUAAAGACCAAAGGCACGGCAACAUGGAUUACGAAUGUCUGAAGUAUAUGUGGAAAUUUUACCAUAUCCUUCGAGAUGGAUGGAUGCCCUGUAACAAUUACAAACAAAAUAGUGGAAGAAGGAAUUUUCGAAAGUCAGAUUGUCCCGUACUCAGUCGAAAGUGCAACACGAGAAAUAGAACAGAGAAUCAGAAGAAUGCGUUUUGUUGUAAAUCGGUUUUAUGUUACGCUACAAAAAUGAACCGCAUAUUAUACGAACGUCGUUAAUGUUCCGAAUCAAGCAGCGAAUUGCAAAAUCACUUCUGGAUAGUGGAUAUGAUUUUAAUGAAACAAAAACCAGCUGAUUCAUUUGAUUUGCUCUUAUCGGUUUAGUUUACACUUUAUUGAUGAUAAAUGAUAAUUCAUUGUACGGUUAUAUUUUACAAUUUAGAUUUCAUGA